rnacentral:rRNA from 1 species
GACGCACGCUGGCGGCGUGCCUAAUACAUGCAAGUCGAACGCAGCGGGGACGGGUGAGUAACACGUGGGUAACCUCCCAUCAGAGGGGAUAACACUUGGAAACAGGUGCUAAACCGCUACUGAAGGAUGGACCCGCGGUGCAUUAGCUAGGUGGUGAGGUAACGGCUCACAAAGUCCAAGAUGCAUACCCGACCUGAUAGGGUGAUCGGCCACACUGGGACUGAGACACGGCCCAGACGCCACCGGGAGGCAGCAGUAGGGAAUAUUCGGCAAUGGAUGAAAGUCUGACCGAGCAACGCCGAUGUAGUGAAGAAGGUUUUCGGAUCGUAAAACUCUGUUGUGAGAGAAGCGGUAUCUAACCAGAAAGCCACGGCUAACUACGUGCCAGCCGACGCGGUAAUUC